AGGCAUGGGACUGGAUCCCCAGGG
rnacentral:piRNA from 1 species